GCCUCUUCUCUCUCUCUCUCUCCCUCUGCCUUACUCUUCACCCUCCCAUCGCAAACCCUAGCUACCCUACACACCUUCUCGAUUUUCCAUGAUUACUCUCCAUAUCUUCAACUGAGCUUUCUCUUCCGAUUCGGUGGUUGAGGGAGGAUAAUUGGUGAAACCCAUUCACGCAGAGCUUCGUGAGAAGAAUUUUCUGAUGGCGGCUUCCACCACGAGCCAGGUCUAUAUUGAUGUAAUCGAGGAUGUCAUGGUCAAGGUUCGGGAUGAGUUCGUUAACAACGGUGGCCCCGGGGAGGAAGUUCUCAAGGAGCUUCAAGCUAUGUGGGAAUCGAAGAUGAUUCAAGCUGGUGUUGUGCUUGGUCCCAUAGAAAGGUCCACUGCUGCUAAGCCAAUGCCUGGUGGUCCAAUUACUCCGGUUCAUGAUCUUAACAUGCCGUAUGAGGGGACCGAGGAGUAUGAAACUCCUACAGCUGAAAUUCUUUUCCCCCCUACCCCAUUGCAAACUCCAAUUCAAACCCCUUUACCAGGAACUGGGGAUAACUCAACGUAUAACAUUCCUACUGGACCAAGUGACUACCCCUCUUCUGGAAAUGACACUGGAGGAAAUGGUGAUGUAAAAGGAGGAAGACCUGGUCCAUACAUGCAACCUCCUUCUCCUUGGAUGAACCAGAGGCAAUCACUUGAUGUCAAUGUUGCUUAUGUGGAAGGGCGGGAUGAGGCAGACAGAGGAAAUUCUAAUCAACCUCUGACACAGGACUUCCUCACAAUGUCAUCAGGAAAGCGAAAACGAAAUGAUAUGACUUCGCAGUUUAAUGCUGGUGGAUAUAUACCUCAGCAAGAUGGAGCUGGCGAUGCUGCAUCUGGAGUUUUUGAAAUUGAGGUAGAUGGAGGGGGCAUCUCCAUUCAUUCGCAUCAUACUAUUUUCAAAGGGAAAAUGCCUACAAAUUUGGAGAGGCCAGGUUCAAGGAUUCCUCAACUUGAUGGACCAAUUCCUUAUGAUGAUGAUGUGCUGUCUACCCCUAAUGUUAAUCAUAUAUACAAUUAUGGAGUCUUCAAUGAAGAUUACAACAUUUCCAAUACUCCAGCUCCUCCUGGUAAAUUGAGAAUAAGUACCAGCAAGUACCCCUGCUCUCUUGGCCCAAAAUGAAGAGGGAAAUGAUGAUGAUGUUGAUGAUGAUGAUGAUGAACCUCCAUUAAAUGAAAAUGAUGAUGAUGAUUUGGAUGACCUCGAACAAGGAGAGGAUCAAAAUACACAUCAUCUUGUUUUGGCCCAGUUUGACAAGGUGACACGUACCAAGAGCAGGUGGAAAUGCACAUUAAAGGAUGGCAUCAUGCACAUAAAUAAUAAGGACAUUCUCUUCAAUAAGGUUUGUUGAUCUUUAAGGAGAACAAAUAAUGAUAUUUUCUGUUUAUCAAAUUGCCACGAUGGGUGAUGCUAUUCACACCUCUGCAGGCGACAGGAGAGUUUGACUUUUGAUUUUGUUGGGGGGGGGGCCAGUGCUUUGGUGUGGCAUGAUACAGAGGUGUCAUUGAGUGUUUCGUGAUCUUUCUUUGGUUAUAAUUAUUAAGUGAAAGAUUGAUGAAGAGAGAAAUCCUUUACACUUUUCGAGACUGUUGUUUUGAUGUUGGCCUCUUGUACAUAAAGGAUGAGCAUUUUUGGCCUUUACCUGAUGGUUAGAGACUGACAUUUCCUUAAGCCCACCAUUCGUCAAGUAUGUGGUUCCUUCAGUUCUUCUGUAUACUUUGGACAUUUUGGUUAAUGUAAGAAUCCCAGUGUAUGAUAAUGAUGGUUUAUUAGGCUUGGUUUAAAUUGUGUCUUUCUUGCUUAGCUUUGGACCCUAAAACUGGGAGAUAACAUUGUGUACUGUGUAGGUCUUCUAAGUUCUGGCGUAGUGUAUUGAUAUUUGAAACUUUAGACGAUCAAGAAAAAGGAAAAUAAGAAUUGAUAUAUUAAGCUUCAAAAAAAUGUUUUCUAUAAUUUUGUCAUGUAUAUGCUCUUCUUGAUUAAUGACCGAUUUUAGUAACCUUUUUUUAUUCGUAUAUCAUGUCGGCUUUACGAGUUUAAAAUGAAGACCCUAUGGUCUGUUGACUACUAUUAUUUGACCAUUAGGAUAAGCGAGUUCGUCCUUCAGGUUGACGAAGGCUAACAACACAUUUGUCUACAGCACUUAAUAGGGUGAAGUUAUGUGUCUCACUAAAU